rnacentral:sRNA from 1 species
AAUAUUGGAACUCAGUCUAAGAAUGUCACGUCCUGUGGCAACGACUGAGAGACCAACUUCGUGCCGC